AAAACACGCUUUCCCCACACAAACCCUAAUUUCAUUUUCUAUCAGCUUCCUCUCCCAUCGAAACUACUAUAGAUCUUCCGAUUAAAUUCGUGCAGCAGUUGAGCAAUCCUUCAUUGCUGAUUUUCCCUUUUGAUUCAAGUUUCUACCAUUCGAUUCAUGGCAGUUUGAUGAUAUGGAUUUUAUUUCAUCGCCAUUGAAGACGAGGCUCUUCUGAUGAUUAUGUUCAAGCCAAGAAAACCCUAACAUCCAUCUCUUUCGGCAUUCCCUUUCAUCGAUCUACCAGAGAAUCAUUAUCAAUAGCGGAGAUUCUUUCUUUUCUAAAACCCUAGAUAUGAAAUUCAUUUUCUUUCUGAUCUACUCAUCUUCGAUCCAGAAUAUUCAAACUUCAAUCAUCAGAGAGGUUAACUAGAGAUAUAGGGAGAGAGAGAGAGAAGAAUGGGAGUCAGCCACUUUAUGGACCCAGUUAAUCACUUCACAGCAGGUAACAUUCAGGUAUUUCAUUGUUCAGAUUUAAAACAUGUUUUGAAUAUGUGUGUUUACAUGCACACGAAUGGAGAUUACAUUAUGUUUUGGUUUUGAUUCGUGUUAGUUAGGUAAUACCCCAACUUUUCAUUCUACUGAUUUGACCCGUUAUGGCUUCAAGUUUGGUGUGUGGGUUUUAGGGUGUUGCCACAUAUUUGAAGAUGUGUUGGUUUCUUAGAUUCAAGAAAAAAAAAUUCACUGCAUGUAUGUUUUUAAAUAAUUAUUUUAUGAUACCAUAUAGAUGUCCUAAGUUUUUCCGGCCGAAGAAAAGCAUAAGGUAAAACAAACAUCAUUUCAAAACAAUAUAAAAUUGAAUGGUUCAAGAAACUUUAUACUGAUUGUUGAUUGCAGUUGUUUUGUAGAAUUAAGAAUGAUAUGUUCCAGUCAAACAGUCCUCGAGACUGCAUCAGCUAUGGUAAUUUCCCUUUUGUAGAUAAAAAGCAAGUUACCAUUCUAAGAGAUUGGUGAACAAAUGUGCUUUGUGGUUUUGCAUCUUUUCAAAUUGAAGAUUGGAGAUUACUUUCCACAUGUUUCACUCAUUAAACCUUUUAGCGCAAAUCAAGCCAUUCAUAGGUUGAAACUACCACUUGUACUAUCUUUAUUAACAAGGGGGGGUAUCAAAGUGGUGAUAAGUGGUGAUUCGGUUUAGGUGUCUUUAGAAGCGUCAGAAUUGAAUAUUCCAGGAAUCUAUUUGAUCCAUGACUUUGUUUCAGCUCAAGAAGAGGAGCAACUGAUUGCUGCAGUUGAUGCAAGGCCUUGGCAUAGUCUUGCAAAAAGAAGGGUUCAACAUUACGGCUAUGAAUUUUGCUAGCAUAAUGGGUGAGUGGAUGACCAUAAUUCAAGAAUCCAAUAUGCUCAUCGUAUGACGCUCUUAUCAGAUCUAAUCUACAAGUGCGGCUGCUGUGUUUGAGUUGUUUUUGAAAUUGAAUAAUGACGUCACGAGACGGUAGACCCCGGGGAACCUUUGAGCGUUGAUAUUUGAUAGUGAUGUGGUUUGGGGCAGAGCAAGAGCAGCCUGUGUUUAAAUGGCUAGGGGUACUUUUACCAAUAUCCACCAUGUUAACAAGCUCUUAAAUGAAGAAGUUGGCCCAAAGACCAUGCAUAUGCCAACUGUAGAGAAACUAUCCGUGUUCGAUGCAUCAUCAGUAACUUUACUGGGGAUACUUUUAACCGGGGCACCUGGCACAGGCAAAACUCUACUUGCCAAGGCUAUUGCUGGAGAAGCUAAGGUUCCUUUUUUCUAUAGAGCAGGUUCCGAGUAGGAAGAAAUGUUUGUUGGUGUUGGUGCUCGAAGAGUGAGAUCCUUAUUCCACGCAACAAAGAAGAAGCUUUAUACUUUCAUCUAUUGCAUUUAUGGUUUUAAUUAUAGAUUUCCAAGUUGUUAAUUAUUACUAUUUUUUUGAAUUUGUUAGGCUUCAUGCAUAAAAAGAUUUAAGGGUGUGUUGAUGACUAUUGAACCCUUGCUUUUGAUUGUAAUUUAAAUUUUCCUACCCGGGUAUCUACCCGGGGAA